rnacentral:rRNA from 1 species
ACUCCUGCGGGAGGCAGCAGUGGGGAAUUUUGGACAAUGGGCGAAAGCCUGAUCCUGCAAUGCCGCGUGAGUGAAGAAGGCCUUCGGGUUGUAAAGCUCUUUUGUCAGGGAAGAAACGGUGAAAGCUAAUAUCUUUUGCUAAUGACGGUACCUGAAGAAUAAGCACCGGCUAACUACGUUCCAGCAGCCGCGGUAAUACGUAGGGUGCAAGCGUUAAUCGGAAUUACUGGGCGUAAAGCGUGCGCAGGCGGUUUUGUAAGUCUGAUGUGAAAUCCCCGGGCUCAACCUGGGAAUUGCAUUGGAGACUGCAAGGCUAGAAUCUGGCAGAGGGGGGUAGAAUUCCACGUGUAGCAGUGAAAUGCGUAGAUAUGUGGAGGAACACCGAUGGCGAAGGCAGCCCCCUGGGUCAAGAUUGACGCUCAUGCACGAAAGCGUGGGGAGCAAACAGGAUUAGAAACCCCUGUAGUCCCAUGA